rnacentral:rRNA from 1 species
GACAGAGGCCCCAAGCGUUAGGCGGAAUCACUGGGCUUAAAGCGUGUGUAGGCGGAUCGUUAAGUGUCUUGUGAAAUCCCACGGCUCACCCGUGGAACUGCUGGGCAUACUGGCGAUCUUGGGCCAACUAGGGGCAGUCGGAACAAGCGGUGGAGCGGUGAAAUGCGUAGAUAUCAUUUGGAACGCCAAUGGUGAAAACAGGUUGCUGGGAGUGUGCUGACGCUGAGACACGAAAGCCAGGGGAGCGAACGGG